AUUGAACGCUGGCGGCAGGCCUAACACAUGCAAGUCGAACGAGUGGCGGACGGGUGAGUAAUGUCUGGGAAACUGCCUGAUGGAGGGGGAUAACUACUGGAAACGGUAGCUAAUCCCGCAUACCAUCAGAUGUGCCCAGAUGGGAUUGGCUAGUUGGUGGGGUAACGGCUCACCAAGGCGACGAUCCCUAGCUGGUCUGAGAGGAUGACCAUCCACACUGGAACUGAGACAGGGUCCGUACUCCUACGGGAGGCAGCAGUGGGGAAUAUUGCACAAUGGGCGCAAGCCUGAUGCAGCCAUGCCGCGGGUAUGAAGAAGGCCUUCGGGUUGUAAAGUGCUUUCGGCGGGGAGGCGUUACCCGCAGAAGAAGCACCGGCUAACUACGGGCCAGCAGCCGCGGUAAUUC
rnacentral:rRNA from 1 species